AUGUACAAUCCUACAACUUUAAUGCAUUGGAUCCCAUCAUAACUUCGCGGUUAAGCGUGCUUGGGAUAGAGUAUUAUUAGGAUGGGUGACCUCCCAGGAAGUCCUAGUGUUUUACAUG
rnacentral:rRNA from 1 species